rnacentral:misc_RNA from 1 species
AACACUGUUAACCUGCGGUACCUGCGGAAGGAUCAUUACCGAGUGAGGGCCCUCCGGGUCCAACCUCCCACCCGUGUUUAACGAACCUUGUUGCUUCGGCGGGCCCGCCUCACGGCCGCCGGGGGGCACCCCGCCCCCGGGCCCGCGCCCGCCGAAGACACCUGUGAACGCUGUCUGAAGUUGCAGUCUGAGACACUAGCUCAAUCAGUUAAAACUUUCAGCAACGGAUCUCAGAUCGGA